rnacentral:rRNA from 1 species
GAUGAACGCUGGCGGCGUGCCUAAUACAUGCAAGUCGAGCGAACAGAUGAGGAGCUUGCUCCUCUGACGUUAGCGGCGGACGGGUGAGUAACACGUGGAUAACCUACCUAUAAGACUGGGAUAACUUCGGGAAACCGGAGCUAAUACCGGAUAAUAUAUUGAACCGCAUGGUUCAAUAGUGAAAGACGGUUUUGCUGUCACUUAUAGAUGGAUCCGCGCCGCAUUAGCUAGUUGGUAAGGUAACGGCUUACCAAGGCAACGAUGCGUAGCCGACCUGAGAGGGUGAUCGACCACACUGGAACUGAGACACGGUCCAGACUCCUACGGGAGGCAGCAGUAGGGAAUCUGCCGCAAUGGGCGAAAGCCUGACGGAGCAACGCCGCGUGAGUGAUGAAGGUCUUCGGAUCGUAAAACUCUGUUAUUAGGGAAGAACAAAUGUGUAAGUAACUAUGCACGUCUUGACGGUACCUAAUCAGAAAGCCACGGCUAACUACGUG